UACGUAGGGGGCAAGCGUUGUCCGGAAUCAUUGGGCGUAAAGCGCGCGUAGGCGGCCCGGUAAGUCCGCUGUAAAAGUCCAGGGCUCAACCCUGGAAAGCCGGUGGAUACUGUCGGGCUAGAGUCCGGAAGAGGCGAGUGGAAUUCCUGGUGUAGCGGUGGAAUGCGCAGAUAUCAGGAGGAACACCUAUUGCGAAGGCAGCUCGCUGGGACGUAACUGACGCUGAGACGCGAAAGCGUGGGGAGCAAACAGG
rnacentral:rRNA from 1 species